UGCAGGGAACACGGGUUCGAGCCCUGGUCUGGGAAGAUUCCCACAUGCCGCAGAGCAACUAAGCCCAUACGCCACAACUACUGAGCCCGCGAGCCACAACUACUGAAGCCCGUGCGCCUGGACUACUGAAGCCCGCGCGCCUAGAGCCCGUGCUCCACAACAAGAGAAGCCACCGCGAUGAGAAACCCUCACACCGCAACGAAGACCCAACGCAGCAAAAAUAAAUUAAUUAAUAAAUUAAAAAAAAUACAUUUGUUAAAAAAAAAUGCUAUAAGUGGGAAUUCCCUGGCGGUCCAGUGGUUAGGACUUGGUGCUUUCACUGCCAAGGGCCGGGGUUCAAUCUCUGGUCAGGGAACUAAGAUCCCAGAAGCUGUGUGGUGCGACCGAAAAAAAAAUGCUAUAAGUAACAUUAAAAGAGAAGUGAUACUACCAUGUAUAAAAUAGACAGCUAGUGGGAACCUGCUGUAUAGCACAGGGAGCUCAGCUCAGUGCUCUGUGAGGACCUACACGGGUGGGAUGGGGGGUGAGGGAGGGCCGCGAGGGAGGGGGUAUAAUUAUGCAUAUGGCUGAUUCACUUCACUGUACAGCAGAAACUAACAACAUUGUAAAGCAAUUAUUCUCCAAUAAAAAGUAAAAUAAAACAAAUGGUGCAUCCAUUUGGAAUAAUUUUAAAAAAAAGAAGUGAUAAAUUUGGGAAAAUGACUAUUUGAGAGACAAAGCUAAUAUAUUUAAUAUAUAGUAUGUCUCUCACAAAUCAAUACAAGAAGAUGAAUACUGUAAUAGAUAAAUGGGAAACUAGUCUUAUAAGAGAAAAAAGGCAAAUAAAAUUAUGAAGAAAUGUUUCACAUCAUUAGUUAGCCAUUAAAGAAAUAUAAAUUUAAAAAACAACGUGUACUCUUACCUAUCGCUGGUAUGCAUGAAAAUUUGUACAACUUCUCCGAAGAACAGUAUAGCAUAUAUAUCAAAAGGCAACAAAAAUGAAUGGACAAUUCACAUUUAAGAACUUAUCCAUAUCUAAGAAUAAUCAGUGAAGUAAGCAAAGAUGUAUGUUCAAGGGUAUUCCUUACAGCUUUAUCAUAAAAACAAAAAUUAUCGAAAUAACAAAAAUAUCCUGUAACAGGGGUUUGGUUACAAACAAACAAAAGUAAUGCAUCCAAACAAUGGAAUUCACUAUGCAUUAAAUUGAUGUUUUAGAUGAAUAAUUAUUAAUAUCAAGGUAUAUUAAUAAUACUGUUAUGUGAAAGAAAAAAGGUACAAAUGGGAUAUACAAUAUGAUCUCACUUUGGUACAAAAUAUAUGGAAGUAUAUACAAAGCAUAUCUCUGGGUGGUGAAAUUACAGGUGUUUCUUUUCUCCAUUUGCUUUUCUGUAUUUUCUAAAUCAAAGAAAUAAAUGUGGAUUGCUUUCACCGUGAGAAAAAAUUGUGAGUUUUAAGUAUAAAAAAUAUACUCAAUUGCAAUUAGAAGAAGUAUUCUAAAUUGUUUUUAGUAUUAAUGUAGGGUUCCUGAAGUUAUUUGUACUGUGUUCCCUUUUCCUAAUGAAAAAAGACAUACUUUAAAAAGUGCUGGCCACGAUUUGCGAACAGGCUGUGGUCCCGACCAUUUUUUUCCCGAUCCUACCCACCACGUCUCUGCUCUCAUCUCUCACUUCCAUCCUCACUCCCAAAAGUUAACCAGACUAGCUAAGUGGCCUGUGGAAGGUAAACAACAAAACUCACUUCAAAUGAAAUCAAAAGUUAGAUGAUGUCCAAGUAUCCAACCUGCUUGAACCAGCCCCGCUCUGUGAAUAUUCAUGUGGACAAACGAGAUCGGCAGUGAGAAAAUGGUUUGCUAUUCGCACAUGUCCAGGUGGCUCCGAGCAUUUCCGAUCAUAUUUACCUUCAAAUAAAAAUCUCCUGAUCUUCUUUACAAAUGGUUGUUAUUAUUCUGAAUUGUGUCCACUAAUAUAUCAAAAAAUGUUUUAAAAUGCAAUAAGAAACAGGUUUAAGCAGAUUUAAAAUGGAUUAGCUAACGCUCCAGAGUCUUUCUUCUGUUUUCAAGGACACCUCUUUAGUUUGGGAAUCGUGGAGGACGAUCUCUGCACAUUUUUAACCCUCUGGGCCAUUUGUUGCUUCUCCUGCCUUUUCAACUCCAGCUUUGAUUUUGAAGACCCCAAGUGUUUCUCAAGGGGCAAAGAUAAUGUUGAGUUACCCAAGUGCCAUAAGCAAUAUCAUUUUGGAUGCCACAGGCUUUUUCCUUUUCAAAUGCUCAAGCCCAAGCUGUAAUUUUCCUCUUCCAGUUUUAUCCAGAACCUUUAAAUCAACAACAGAAGAAACUAAACAGGAAGCUGCCUUUCUCUGAUGUAGAAAAUGGGAAGGAAGAUGGGGACAGAUGAGAAAACUAAAUCUGGAGAAGGAAGCCACCAUAUUUUGUUUCUGUUCAUCAAAAUCACAUAUUCAGCAUCCUCCCAGUAGCCUGGCCCAAAAGAUCAAACAUGGGGGGGGGGGCAGUACAUUUUUCUAGCUGUCUAUAGGGCAUCACGAAAGGAACGACCAUAUUCUAUCUUCAGCAACAGUUCGAAAUCCAUUUAGAAAGAGGUCCACAAAAGUUGAAGCAUAACUCCUAACAAGAGGUUUAAAGGAAGAAUUGAUUUAUGUUUUUAGUGACAAAAAAGAAGGAAAAUUUAGCCCAUAUGCCAUCACUUGUUCAAAUACGAACAUAUUUGAAAUGAGAGUGAUAACUGUUUCCAUAGCAAAUAUGGUAACACAAAAAUAACACAUCUGUGCUUUGUUUUUCUGAAUGCUAUUUGGAGCCAGUUUUGUUUAAGAAGCCUAGGCAGGACUAAUUCACUUAGUUCGGUCGAGUAGAGCAGUGACCUCCAGACUGGGAUUUCACAGAGCAGCGAUGGUUCCCAAAUGAAUGAAUAAGUGAAUAAACUGGAGAGGAGAAAAUACAGGGUUGUCCACUUUUCAUUUCUCUAAAUGAUACAAAAAGCUCAACCAUCGUCAAUAAUCAUGGUUAUUCCCUGAGAGAAAGGACAUUUUAACAGAAAAAAAUCAGGAAGGGAACAAUCUCAUAAUAAAAAAUAGUCCUUCAGAGGAAGAAAAUUAGUUUAUGGAAAAAAUCACUACAUUUUCUCACUAUAGAUUCUAAUAAAACAUAAUAGACUAGGAACCAAUGGAAACGACUUAGUAUAGUAUUGAGAUUAACUUUCCAUUUUUAAUUCCCAUAUAAGCUAGUUAAGUUAUAUUGGUCUGUUUCACGGUCUUAGAAUGUGUGUUAAUGUGUAUUUUUUGUUACCUGUUAAUUCACUGAUUCUUUCUUCUAUUCAACAAAUACUUGCUGUGGUCUAUUAUAUAUUAGGCACUGAUGGAGGUUAUGAAGCAGAAUAAGAUUGUCUCUUCUCUCUUUUUUUUUUUUUAAAUUUUAUUUUAUUUAUUUUUUAUACAGCAGGUUCUUAUUAGUUAUCCAUUUUAUACAUAUUAGUGUAUACAUGUCAAUCCCAAUCUCCCAAUUCAUCACAUCACUGCCCCACCCCGCCCCCCGCUUUCCCCCCUUGGUGUCCAUACGUUUGUUCUCCACAUCUGUCUCUAUUUCUCCCUUGCAAACCGGUUUCAUCUGUACCAUUUUUCUAGAUGUCACAUAUAUGCGUUAAUAUACGAUAUUUGUUUUUCUCUUUCCAACUGACUUCACUCUCUAUGACAGUCUCUAGAUCCAUCCACGUCUCUACAAAUGACCCAAUUUUGUUCCUUUUUAUGACUGAGUAAUAUUCCAUUGUAUAUAUGUACUACAUCUUCUUUAUCCAUUCGUCUGUCCAUGGGCAUUUAGGUUGCUUCCAUGUCCUGGCUAUUGUAAAUAGUGCUGCAAUGAACAUUGGGGUGCAUGUGUCUUUUUGAAUUAUGGUUUUCUCAUGGUAUGUGCCCAGUAAUGGGAUUGCUGGGUCAUAUGGUAAUUCUAUUUUUAGUUUUUUAAGGAACCUCCAUACUGUUCUCCAUAGUGGCUGUGUCAGUUUACAUUCCCACCAACUGUGCAAGAGGGUUCCCUUCUCUCCACACCCUCUCCAGCAUUUUUUGUUUGUAGGUUUUUUGAUGAUGGCUAUUCUAACCGGUGUGAGGUGAUACCUCAUUGCAGUUUUGAUUUGCAUUUCUCUAAUGAUUAGUGAUGUUGAGCGUCUUUUCAUGUGUUAGUUGACCAUCUGUGUGUCUUCUUUGGAGAAACGUCUCUUUAGGUCUUGUGCCCAUUUUUUGAUUGGGUUGUUUAUUUUUUUAAUAUUGAGCUGCAUGAGAAGAUUGUCUCUUAUGGUGCACAGAAAGAGUUAUAAUUCAAGACAAAACUUACCAUGAGAGGGCACAGAUCGAUGCGGGAAGCCAAGGGUGGGGCUGUAAAGGCUUCAUGGGGAAGGUGGCAUUUGAGGCAGAUAUUGAAAGAUGAGAGGAUUUCCAUAGCUCACGUUGGUCUGGUGGAGGGUGUUAUGGACGGAGGUUAAAAAAAAAAUCAUCCAAACCAGUCAGCCUGGGAAAGGGUUCAAUAUGUCCAAGGUCUUGAGAGCAGUAUGGCUCGAUAUGUACUAGAGAGUCCUGGGGAAAUACGAACAUAGCGAAGGCCAUUUCGUAGGGGAUCCUCAGAAUCAAGGCGAAUGUUUAGACCGCAUCUAGGAAGCCAAGCAGAGCGAGCAAGCAGGUGUGUGCGGAUGGAGAGAUUCCUGACCUUGAAAUCAGGAGGCGCGACUUUGAGCGUCCGCGCUGUUCUCCCCAUGAAACCUUGAGGAAUUCUCUUACUCUCUCUGGGCCUCCAUUUUCCGGCUGUAAAAUGUGAUUAAUACCUCGAUGACGUGCUAUCGUAUUAUUCAGUUCAAUAAGCCGCAGUACGGGAAAGGCCUAGGACAGUAUCAGACACAUAGUCGGAAACCAUGACAGUUUGCUGGUCGUGGAUAUUUGCUGGAUCACCAAAAUCCAGGUUUAGGAAGAUUCUCACAUUCACCUGUGGGCUCAGAAAGUGAGAAAUAGUGGGAGUGGAUGAGAGGGAACGGAAGUGAGAGAUACUCGCAUUGGCUGGGUGCAGGACUCAAGGACAACGACACGUUAGCAGCACGUGCGAGGCAGAAGCUGAGACGCGGAUUAGGGAACCGCCUGGUCCAGUGGUGAGAGUUGAAGCCAUAAAGACAUCCCUGUGAUGCCAAGAGCAGGAGUGUAGAGGAAGGAGGGGACCAAGGGCUGAGUUUUGACCAUCUCCUCUGCUGGGCUCGGAAGGACAGCAGAGAGAACACGGGUCUCCCGGAGCCCACGGAACCUGAGAGAGAAGAUGGCCUCGGGAACAAAGGGGCAGUUGUAAGUGCCACACGUCACAGGGGCCAAAGAAACAGGAGCACAGGAGUCACAACGGGAGCUCCUGAGGGACUUUUGUGAGCACAGUGUCAGUGGUUCCGGGGGAGCUGAAGCCACAUUGCAGGAAAGAGUGAAGAGGUGAGUUUAAAAUAGAUUAAGUUAAUAUUUGGAAUAGGUAAAGCUGCCUAUGAAUCAAAAGGUACCAAAGCAUAUAAAGAGAAACCUAGGUCUCUCACCUACUCCUCCAAUUUCUGUUCAAAUGUUCAGGAAUAUCCAUGGAGAGUCAAUGAAUAGGUAUUUUUGGUUUUGGUUUUCGGGAUUUUUUAGUCACGAGAAUUUUUUUAUUGUUAUUUUAUGAUAGUUUCACACAUUUUAAUAUAUACCUGAUUCUUCAUAAUCUGAAUUUAUAGUAACAUAUCAGGCACGUUUUCGAAAUACCAACUAAAACCUACUACUCUGCACCCCUCUUUCUACUUGACCAUAUGAUGUCUUGGAGACCUCUCUAUAUGAUCCCGACGUACAGCGUAAUUUAUUUGAUCAGUCUUGACACAAUGCUCUACUGGUGGAUAUGUGGGAUGUUUCCAUCAAGAACUUGAUAAACAGAACAAAAUCUUCAUGAGUGACUAGGCGACGUUCCAGAACUCUAGACCUUGAUGACUCAAGUAGCAGAACUGCUGGAUUUACCCACAAACAGCUGCAUCCAUUCCCUCUUGCUAGACUCCUUCCAGUUUUGUUUUUGGCCAAGUCAUGCAGCAUGUGGGAUCUUCCCCCACCAGGUAUUGAACCCGUGCCCCCUUCCCUGCUGCGUUGGGAAUGCGCAGUCUUAACCACUGGACCGCCAGGGAAGUCCCCUUCCAGGUUUUUUUUUUUUUUUUUUUUUUUUGCGGUACGCGGGCCUGUCACUGUUGUGGCCUCUCCCGUUGCGGAGCACAGGCUCCGGACGCGCAGGCCCAGCGGCCAUGGCUCAUGGGCCCAGCCGCUCCACGGCAUGUGGGAUCUUCCUGGACCAGGGCACGAACCCGUGUCCCCUGCAUCGGCAGGCGGACUCUCUACCGCUGCGCCACCAGGGAAGCCCCCACUUCCAGUUUUUAUUUGGUCCUUGCCUUCACUGGAGGACCCCAUUUCUUGUCCUGUAACCUCCCCUAGCCUUUUUGCAUUAUCCUAUCAUAAUGCUUUCUGGAAAUAAAAAAAGUAACUUCCGCUCUAAAGAUUUAAAUCUUGAGUGCUAGCCAGCUGACUGAUUAAACCUUCAGUUAUGGGAGAGAUGUCACCCUCCCAUUGUGGACUGUUGGCAUUGCGAGUACCUUAGAAUUUGCAUAACUCUACCUCCUUUGUUUUACAGAAGUGGAAAUCGAAGAGCAGAGAAGUGACAUGUGUUCCCCCAAAUCAUGUGGCCAAAGAGUAGUGGAGCCCAGUAUCCUCACUACCUUUUUUUUUUUAAAAUAAAUUUAUUUAUUUAUGGCU